rnacentral:lncRNA from 1 species
UCCCGAGUAGCUGGGACUACAGGUGCAAGCCACCCUGCCCAGGUAAUGUUUGUAUAUUUUGUAGAAACCGUGUCUCACUAUGUUGCCCAAGCUGGUCUUGAACUCCUGGACUGAAACGAACCUCCCAUCUUGGCCUCCCAAAGUGCUGGGAUUACAGGCGUGAGACACCGUGCCCUGCCUCAUAUAGUAAUUCUGUGUUAUAGUUAUUGAGGGAGCACUCAUAUAAUCUUUUAUUUUAUUUAUUUAUUUAUUUAUUUUUAUUUAUUUGUUUUUUUGAGACAGAGUCUGGCUCUGUUGCCCAGGCUGGAGUGCAGUGACAUGAUCUUGGCUCACUGCAAGCUCCGCCUCCUCGGUUCACACUAUUCUCCUGCCUCAGCCUCCCGAGUAGCUGGGACUACAGGCAUGCGCUGCCACGCCCGGCUAUUUUUGUAUUUUUAGUAGGGACGGGGUUUCACCAUGUUGGCCAGGAUGGUCUUGAUCUCCUGACCUGAUGAUCCGCCCACCUCCACCUCCCAAAGUGCUGGGAUUACAGGCGUGAGCCACCGUGCCCGGCCUUUAUUCUUAGUCUUAUUUUAUAUUUUUUGAGACAGGGUCUUACUCUGUCACCCAGGCUGGAGUGCAGUGGUGCAAUCACGGCUCACUGCAGUGUCAAUCUCCUGGCCUCAAGGGAUCCUCCCGCCUCGGCCUCUUAAGUAGUUGGGACUCCAGGUGCAUGCCACCAUGCCCAGCUAAGUUUUUUUUUUUUUGUAGCGACAGGCUGUUGCCCAGGCUGGUCUUAAACUCCUGACCUCAAGUGAUCCACUUGCUUCAGCCUCCCAAAGUGCUGGGAUUACAGGCGUGAGCCACCACACCUGGCCCCCUUGUUUAUGUUAUGUGCCUGACAAAGAUCUCUGUUGAAGGAAGGUGGUAUAAUGAAGAAAGGAAGGCAGCAGGGCAUGACUCAAUGGAAAUAAUUGGCAAAGAUAGGAGUAAACACCAAUCACAUUUUUUUAAACUUUCUAAAUAAAACAAUGGAGACUGUAAUUGUGGUGGCUUUUGCCUGUAAUCCCAGCACUUUGGGAGGCCAAGAUGAGAAGAUUGCUUGAGACCAGGAAUUCGAGACCAGCCUGGGCAACAUGGUGAAACCCUGUCUCUACUAAAAAUACUAAAAAAUUACAGGCAUGGUGGGACGCGCCUGUAAUCCCAGCUAUUUGGGAGGCUGAGGUGGGAGGAUCACCUGAGCCAGGGAGGUCAAGACUGCAGUGAGCUCUGACAGCACCACUGCACUCCAGCCUGGGCAACAGAGCAAAACCCCUGUGUCAAAAAAAAAAUAUAUAUAUAUAUAUAAUUUGAUUGACUGUAACACAGAAGAUAAAUGCUUGAGAGAAUGGAUACCCCAUUUUCCACAAUGUGAUUAUUACACACCGCAUGCCUGUAUCAAAACAUCUCAAUGUGCCCCAUAUCAUUUAUUCUUUCUUGUUUUAUAACUAAUUAUAACUAACACUUCAACUGCACUUGCCAUGCGAUACCUAACGGUAUAUCUGUCAUCCUAUAUUACAAACUGUCUCUAGGUAAGAACAUUCUAAGAACCCCACAGCUGGCAAGAAGCCUGCUGCUAUCCUGAGAAAUCAGCAAAAUGUCAAUCUGAACGAACCACAUUUAACCUGUGAUAUAAUUUGGCUCUGUGUCCCCACCCAAAUCUCAUCUCGAAUUGUACUCCCAUAAUUCCCAUGUGUUGCAGGAGGGACCCGGUGGGAGAUAAUUGAAUCAUGGGGGCAGUUUCUCCCACACUGUUCUUGGUAGUGAAUAACUCUCAUGAGAUCUAAUGGUAUUUUAAGGGGAAACCCCUUUCGCUUGGCUCUCAUUCUCUUCUCUUGUCUGCCGCCAUGUGAGAUGUGCCUUUCACCUGCCAUGAUUGUGAGGCCUCCCCAGCCACAUGGAACUGUAAGUUCAUUAAACCUCUUUCUUUUGUAAAUUGCCCAGUUUCAGGUAUGUCUUUAUCAGCAGUGUGAAAAUGGACGAAUGCACUAAUACAACAGGCUCCCUGGUCCCCCACCUUCUCGGACUAAGUCCUCUGCAGUGUUGACUCCGUGUUCUAUGAGCUUCUGGCAGUCAUCUAGUGGUUUAAUGGUCUCCUGUUCAAUGGUGUCCACCUCUUGCAAAAGGGUCACCAAUCGCUCAUCCAGGAGCUUUCCAAGGGUUCCCUUUAAAUCAUUAAAAUGCUGUUUGAGAACAUCCCUUGUCUGUGAUGCACUUUCUUUGAUCUAAAAAGAAAUAACAAAAUACUCAAAAUCAGAAUCUUUAAAAAAGGCUAAUCCAAAGGUAUAAUUCACAUGAAUCUAAAAGCACUGUAUAACCAUCUUCUUCAAUUUAGUAAAAAAAAGAUUAACUGAAAUUAUAUUUAAGGUGUGAUAUUUUGAUACACAUAUACAUAGUGAACUGUUAACUAUAGUUAAGCUAAUUAACAUGUCCAUCUCUUCACAUGGUUACCUCUGUGUGUGGUGAGAACACUUAUGAUCUCUCCUAACACAUUCCAAGUAUACAUUACACUAUUAUUAACUAUUGUCCCUAUCCUGUACUUGAGCUCUCUAGAAUUUACACAUAUUAAAUAACUGAAACUCUGUACCCUUUGACCAACAUCUCCCCAUCCCCAACUCCAUCCCUGGCAAGCACCAUUCUACUUUCUGCUUCUAUGACUUCGACCUUUUUAGAUUCUACAUAUGAGAUCGUGCAGUAUGUUUAUUUCUGUAUCUGGCUUAUUUCACUUAGCAUAGUGUCCUUCAGGUUCAUCCAUGCUGUCACAAAUGACAGAAUUUCCUUCUCUUUUAAGGUUGAAUGGCAUUCCAUUGUAUAUAUACAUCUUCCAUUCAUUGAUAAACCAAAUGUGAUUCAUUUGCACAAACAGACAGAAGUACACAGAACUGCCCUUCAAGUCAG